AGGGAUAAAUGUGAGGCAGGCCACACUACAGAAAGUCCUGUUGCACCCUGGUGAUAAAUUUGGAGGUUACUUUGGGACAUCCAGAACACACCGAGUUGAUGGUAGAGCACAUAAGAACCACAAAGAGAUGAAGCCUGUUUGCUGGACGGACUCUAAUCCUUUCUGGCCUGGAAAGGAAGAUCAUGUGCGCUUGUUUCUGCCUGUGAUGACAAGCUCUCCUGCAACGGUUUUAUUUCAGCGUAUCAAACAUACUGUUGCGCCAAGUCCUGGACACUGGCCUGUAAAUCAUUUAGGAUACUCAACCUCUGGAGACAUAGAAUCUCGCAAAAUCUACAGCCUCUAGACCAUCUUUGAUCUGUAUAGAAUGUCUGUAUUAAAUUGUUGUUUUGACCUUCUAAAAAGUGAUUUUCUACCAUUAGAUGGCGGCACGCAAACACUGAAAUACUACUGUAGGUGCGCUGCUAUUUUUAGCUACGCAGUUCUUUGCUUUUUUCGCUCAGCAUAUUGUCCUCUGUGACAACUAAAGCAGUCAUGUUUGAUUUUAAUAAAUACUAAAAUG